rnacentral:tRNA from 1 species
GAGCCAAUAGCUCAGCUGGUAGAGCAACGCCCUUUUAAGGCGUGGGUCGAAGGUUCGAAUCCUUCUUGGCUCA